rnacentral:lncRNA from 1 species
UAAGAUCUUGAGCAGGGCCAUAAAAGAUGGGAGCCAUAGGAUGGCCAGGAAAUGUACACACUAUUAUAUUGGAGGUGCUGGGGGGUGCCUGGGUGGAGGAUUGAGGGAGCAUGGGGUGGAUGUGCAGGCGGGGAGAUUGACCACAGCACUGGCCAUUGGGGCGUAUGAGCGGGAUGUUGUUGUUAGGUGGGAUGGGGUGUGUCUGAUGGGAGUGUUGCAGGAUGAUGGGGGUCUUGCUGCCAUGGAGGCUCUAGAGUGGGAGGGGGGGAGGACACUGCCAAGUUAUGGUUGGUAGUGGCAAC